CUUUUCCUAGCCGGUCAACGCCUCCAGCCGUCCAGAGCGCCUUUGUCUCCUUCCUAGAGCCACUGGCUGAUGGGGCAGCGGGGGACGCGGACCCCGGCGCUGCGGUCCGCCAGGAGCGGCGCGGCCGGUGUGUCCCGGCUGCGAGGGCCACGGCAGCCGUGAGUUCCCAAGGUCACAGAGGCCUCGGUGAGCCGUGAAACCGCUCCCCACCACCCACACCUGGCCCUCGGCCCCGAGCGAAAAGUUGCUGCUGGUUCACGUGGGCCGAUGAGGUCCGGUGUCCAGCGGGUGAGAAAGAGCAGCACCCUUCGUGUGGUCCCUGCCAGCGGGGUGAGCUGGAGACCUGUCUGGACAGCUGGAACUGUAGUGCAUGCAGGUCUGCUUGCUGGCAAAUGGUGGGGCUGGGCUGGUUCUUUCUUCAGGGUAAUGUUGAAGAUGGCUACAGGACCCCCUGUUCUCACACACUCAUAGAACCAUGGAAUAGACCAGGCUGGAAGGGUGCUGGAAAGAUCAUUGGUCCAACUUUUGUGGGAGGGAGCAUAGAUGAGAUUAUCGAGCACCCUGUCCAGUGGCAGCUUGGAAAUCUCCCCUGACAGGGACUCUACCACCACAUCCCUGUGUUUCAGUCGUUGGUUGCUCUCUCAGUCAGAAAAUUCAUGUUGUUCCUUGUCUUCUCCAUGCAGUAUUUGGUGAGGAGAGCCUCCACCCUCUUUGUAGCACUCUGGUAUAUUGAGCUUAGCCCCCUGCCUCCAAGCUCUCUCUCCCCUAGGGAGAUAAGAUGUAACUCCUUCCGUCUUUCCUGGCAGGGCAGGUUGUCCUCCCCACCCAGUUUAGUGAUAUCAGCAACCCUGGGUGAAGCUGCUUUCAAAUCUAUCACCCAAAUCCAUGUGAAGAUGGACAGCGUGGAGCCCAGCAACAAUCUCAGGGAAACCUCACUUGCAGCAGGCUGCCACCCUGAGAUAAAAACAUUGAUCAAGACCCUCUGAGUGCAGCCUGUUGGCCAGUUUUCUACCCAUCUUGCUAACAACCUAACCAGUCUGUGUCUUGCCACUUAGUCCAAGAGAAGGCUUCCUCAUCGGUGGAAGCAGAGUGAGAUGACUUCCAAUAUUCACAGUACAGCAGCUGCUCACCUCACGUGGCAGCUCUGCACUUUCCCUGAGGCAAUGAAAAAUACUCAGAAGAAAAGAAGGCAGCUUUACCAGCGGAAGGAAGAGCUGAGGAGUUGCUCUGGGCACAGCCUGGGUGAGUGAGAGGAAAGCAAAGCCUGAGCACCCCUUUGCUACCUCAGCACAGCCUGCUCGGUACACCCAGGGAGGCUGAAGCCCCACGAGAAAAUGGAUCAAUGGCUGUAAAAUAAAAGUCCUUAUCACAACAAGUGAGGCACGAGAAGACAAAAUCAGUCUGCUUUUGCAACUUCUACUUGGCAUUUUACAUUAUGUGUAUUUUUGACUUUGCAUGCUUUGUUCCUUUUCUUUGUUGUAUACAGGGUGUGUGAUUACCCUCUGUUAAAAGGAUAACAAAGCAAUCUGACGGGUUAUCCUGUGGGAUUUUUCAGAUCCCACUGUGAAUGCAGCAGAGAUAGAGCAGCAGACAAGAAUCACUCCACUUGUUUGCACUAGUGCAGCCACAGCAAAGAUAAAAGUCCCAGUGUUACAGCUUUUACCCAGGUUGCUGAAUUGUCGGCAUAUUUGGAAGAGAUGGAUGUCUCCAGUGACAUAUGGAUGUGCUGCACACAUUGCCUGUGCCCUGUGUAAGGCUGAGUGCUCAGAAGAAGCCCAGACAGCUUCCUUGCCCUGCCUGGCUCAGGAAACGUGGACACAGAGCCAUGAGGAAUGAGCAGGACAUUGGGGUGAUGGAGAGAAAAGAGGACUGACCCACAUGGCUACCUGUCUCUGUAAUGCUCUCAGGACUGUUCUCACAAAAUAACCCUGGGGCAACUUGUCUUGCUGAGGAAGCCAAAAGCCUUCUGAUCCCACAAACCAUGCCCUUUGCCAGCUCGGACUUUGCUUACACCCUGAACUGCCAUCUGUGAGGACAGUUGUAUCCCAGCCUGUCCUCCUUAAAACAGCUGCUCCAUUUUAAAGAGAUUUUGGAAGCAUUUUUUUGUUCCUGAGUGUUGCACCCCAGAGGAGGAAGGGGUAACAAUUCUGUAUUUAUAUUAGGCAACAAUUCCUAAAAAUUAUCAGUGCUCAAUUACUGAAGCAGGGGGUUGCUUCUCAGAAUCACCGUUUGGCAAGCACCCAUGAAGAAGAGCUACCAGAGCUACCGGAAAGGGAUGGAGGAGAAGUACUGGACUACUUUGCUUGCUGUGGUAGGAACACAAACUGGUGAUGGAUUUUGAUCUGACUGGUAUGCAAGGAUGUCUGCAUGUGUCUGAACCUGUGACAAUGACGUGGCUUCUGCUGCCAGCCACAGUUGACUGCACUCUGGUGGGGGUGGAGGAUCAGGCUCAGUGAAUUCUUGUGUCUUUGCUGGAGAAGAGUUGUGGCUGAGAAGAAAUCAUUGUUAUGCCAACAAGAAUACUUUUCUAGCACAAACAGUUUUUGCAGUAGAGAAAAGUUUUUGCAGCCUCCCUGCAUUUUUAACAUAGCUGCAGCUUUUGCUCUUAAUAUAACAAGACUUCCUAAAGCACAUGUUCUAAGUCACUAGCAGCUCAUUGCAAAUGCCAAAUAUCAAAUAAUUCAUAACAAAAUUGACUCCCAAAUUAAAGAAAAAUUUAGUGGUCCAGAAAUACUCUCAUUAAUCAUUCUGUAGAUCAAUGGAAAUCAAAAAUUACGAAUUAGUCCUGUCCUGUUCCUCCCCUAAGCCACGGCUUAAAAAUCAGGAGUCAUAUUUUUGUGGUUAAAUCAGUCUGAAUUAUUUUGUUCACUUUGUGGUAACUAGAGUCUGUAUCUCAUAGCUGGAUCAUGUUUUCAAUUAUGAUUUAAAGUUCCCACAACAUCUGCAGAUUUCCUGUUUAAGGAAAGCCAAGAUUCUCCCACACCUGACCCACUGUGGGUAAAGAAAUGAAUUUUGUUACUUUGCUAAAAGUGCAGGUGUUGGCAACUGUGAAUACAGGUGGUAUGUUUCAAAGAGGACAAUAAUCUACAGAAUCAAGUAAUACACUGGACUGAUUGUGAAAUUUUAUCUUCACAUGCCUUUGAGUUACUUUUUUGUUUCCUAAAGCAUCUUGCCAGAUAAAUACUCUUUUUUUCCCCUUUGUAUUUCAGAUUUUGCAUCCUAAAUAUUGCUUCUACUGCUGUGCUUCAGGGACAAUUUUAAGUUCUUGGUACACCACAAUCCUCCAGGACUAAAGAUGAAGCUAAAAAUUGUGAUAUAAAAGCAGAAAACAGCCUGAGAGGUUUAUAAAAAGGCCAUAGGAAACCCAGCUUUAGUUGCAGCAGUAUUGUUAAAUUCAAGCCUCAAACAGAAGAAACAGGUGGCCAUGGGAAAGGGCCCUUUAUCCAGCACUGCCUGGGGGGAGUGAGGAUGCUCAUGCAGCUCUUGGCUGCUUGAGCUCUGUUGGUACAGCACUGUGCUUCAGCUGCAGAGCUGUGCAGGCACAAAACCUGUGUGCAUGCUGCGCCUAAAUUGGGGAGGGGGUGGGGGGAAGAUCUGCUCAUCUACACAUGGGAAGUAAGUUCUUAUCACCUGCUGCCUGCAAGCCAAGCACAUCCCCCUCACACAUGAAGGCCCAGUUUUGCCCUGUGGUUUCCCCAAACACCCUCCUCCCUGCAUCUCUGUGUAGCUGUUGCUCUAACAGGAACUGUUUUGCCUUCACAGCCUUUAGCAGAUGAUGCUCUAAUCUCCCUUUGGCAUCUCCCUGCCAGUUGCCAAUGCAGCCAUGUGCACAUCUGAGAGCAAAUUUUCUAGGACAGCACUGGGAGAUCCAGAAGUGCCAUGCUGUGCCAGCCCACCUGGCUGCAAGCUGCACAGAAAUCCCUGAUUUGUCAGUCCAGGAGCCCAAAGUGACUGAAAGACCUUUCCAGAGCCACGAGCAUGGGGUUUGUCCUACUGCUGGGAAAUGCUUCUGCACAAUGUCCUAUCAAGCAGACAUCCAGAGCUGCAGUUUAAAAUGUCACUCAGAAAUGUUCUGUGCCUGCAGAUGGAAGGGGGGAGGUUGCCAGCUGUUUGGUUGCUCCAAAAGGCUGUUUUGUCCGCUGUGAGACCCCCUUGCCCUCUCCAAAGAUGCAGGUCCAAACAGGAGUUACCUCACCAGAGUGAAAAAUGUUGAACAAUGCAGAGCUGCCCUCCUUGUCACGUUCCUGCUUGGCUUGCUUAGGCAUUUUUGAAACUCCUCUAAGCCCCACACCCAGUGUUUUGUAGUGUCCUUAGCACUGAAAAUCAGUCUCAGCAUGAGCCUCAGUCUCUCUCUUACCAGCUUUCAGUAACAGUGAAUGGAAAGCAAAUCCAAAUCUUCACUCCAUCAGAAACCGCAGCUGCAAAGCUGCCCUAUUGUUUCAUGAGCUACUUUUAUUUUUGAGCCUUCAGACCUGUGGAACAUCCUCUGCAAAGGUUAAAUUCGAAAUUAGCUGCACAAGCAUAGGGAGGAAAGUCUGUCUGUCAGCUUGCUUGAGAGUCCCCAACCCCCUGCAAAACAAAAUGGAAGUGUCUCUGGUUCAAGGCAGCCUACACGGCAGCGAGCUGCAGGAGCUGUAAGCUAUUAUUUUAGAUCCCAAGAAAAGUAAUUACUAUAGCAACCAACACAUCCAAAUGGCUCUUUGGCUGCUGCCGAGACACAAACAACUUGCACACAAAGGCACAUCAGAAACGUGCUGUGUAAAAUGUUCUCGGGUAGCUCUGUGUUUUCGAGGGCUCUAUAAAAUGUGCUUAACAGGCUUCUGAGAAAUGACUGCCAGAGUAACAGCAAGCAAUUGUGCCGUGCCACAAUCCCAAAAUAACCUAAUCAAUGGCUCAGUAUAUUUGCCCCUGAAGAGAUGAAGCAAAAAAAAAAAAGCAGA